rnacentral:lncRNA from 1 species
GAGAUAGAUAGAGCUCAUAUGAGGAGUUAAUAUCUUUGUAAUCUCGUAACAUGUUGUAAUCCAUUUUCACAUUCUAAUAAAGCUUAGAGCAGUGCUGUUUCAACCGUGGAUGUAGGCUUCUUGGUGAUUGAAGUCGCAUAGAUUGAUCUUUAGGUUUGGUUUCAUUUGAUUGUAUGCCUUGAUUCUCUUAAAGAAGCUCCAAGCAUUGGGUCAUUUCUUAACAGUGAUAGAAUUUUGUCACUAUUCUCUUAUAGAAUAAUCAAAAUUUCAAGGCCUCUAAGAUUUUGAAACGAUUGUGUUUGCCACAUCAGCAAAAUAAUAUAUUUGUAACAAAAUUUCGACACAUAUAUGAAUAAUCAUGUGAAGAAACAUUCUAUCAAAAAAAUUCAAUUUUGUAGUAGUGAUUUUACUUGCUGCCCUUUUAAAAUUUAGUAAAAACACAAUUCUAGUUUGAAUAUACUCUAAGAUUGUUUCAGUUAAUCUUUCUUUAUAUGUAGUGUGUGAUGGGUCUGCCUCACACAAAACCAUCAAAUUUCUUCUCACAAAUUUAACUAUUUUGAAUAAAUGAUUGACAUACUAUAUUUAUAUGACCAAAAAAAAUAGAAGGGUAUUCGAAAAAUAUUUUCAAAUUAGGACUAGAGAAUUAUUAACCCGAAUUUUCACAAAAGCAAUACAAAGCAAGUUGUAAAAGUCCUAUUAUGUUGAUCCUCAUUACAUUCGUUUCAAUUUUUUUUUAUUUCUUUUUUCCCUUCAACGCAAUUGUUCAAGAGAGAAACAAGUUAUUUGAUCAACUAAACUAGAAGUAAUUUUAGACAUGGUAUACAUGAGCCUUUUCAAUGCUGUCCCUUUACUUUGUAGAGGAGCUUUCUCAAUGAUGUGUUCCUCGACUUGGACGAUGAGCUUUAUUAAUGGGAAGAAUUUGCACCGGCCAUGACUCAAUAAUAUCUAAAUUCAAAGUAUGUGGCCUAAUAUUUCAAAUGCCAAGAAAAUGACAGAAUUCAGAAUUUGAAGUGAAGUUACCCAAAUAUCCUUUUAUUUAAUACAACUUAAUAUUUUUAAAUUGUGCUAUAGAUUUCUAAAUUUGUAUUCCUCUAAACUUGUCUAGUAGGGUGGGCUAAAAAAUAGGGCCGGUGGGCUUUAGGCUUAGUCCGCAUUGUGGGGCCAUGGACAUAAGUUAAAAAUUUUAUAGCCUACUAUGAAUAAGUUUGGUUAAGGGCUUAUGGAUUAUAAUAGAUAAAUUAAAACAAAAUAAUUAUAAUCUAUAAUUAAUAAGCAUUAUUUAUGGUUUAUUAUUUUAUGUUGCUAGGAUUUUAUGUAUUGGAUCAUUAAUCUAUUAUGUAUCUAUAUACAAUUAUCUUUAUUUUUUUUUUACUUUUAGCUUUGUUAAAAAUUGAAAAAUUAUCUCUGCACCAUUUUUGUUUUGUUAUAUGCACAUCUGACCAUAAUAAAAUUUUAAUAUAUUCUUUGCACCACUUAUAUUUUUAAGCUUGUAUUAGUUAACCAUUUUGAUCACUAGAAAAAGACCAUUUUACCCCUAAAGGAGUUAAAAGAUCAUUUUAUUCUAUAA